rnacentral:lncRNA from 10 species
CUUUCAAUUAGUGCCUUGGAAGUUUUCUGUCUAAUCCAAUGGCACACUCUCCAAAGUUACCAGAAACCUGCAUUCAAGAGUUCUUUUCAUGAACUCCAAAGAAGUAAGCCUUGGACUGUAGCUGAUUAUAAGUCACUUUUUUUUUUUGAGAAGGAUCACAGCAAAACAUCAAUUAUGGAUGACAAAAGUCUUAAGACAGCCAUAAAGACACAGUUGACAAAUGUGGCUAUUUCUGUGGCUUACAACAAUUUAACAUAAUCAUUACAACAUAUAUUAAGACAUAUCAGAAUUUUAGAACUCUCAUACAAUCCUGGAACACAUAUUAACAACAAAUCUCUAUCAGUAUAACCCAAAGGAAGCUAAACACCACUUCACACUUGACAAUGUUUCCUGUAUAAUUCAAACAUUACAAAUAAGCCUAAUAUGUCACUCUUGAACUUCAGGAAGCCUAAUAUCCAAAAAGUUAGUUUAGGGUCAAAAGUUUUUGAAUUAACUUUUUUCCAUUAGUAUGGUCAUAUCUUUCUUACUAAUUUGUAAGUUAUGUAAUUUAUCAAUUUUUUUGUUGUUGUUCUGUUUCCCAACCUCUAUGUCAGAUAAAGAAUCACCCAGGCCAGACACAAUGGCUCAUGCUUGUGAUCCCAACACUUUGGGAAGCCAAGGUGGGAGAAUUGCUUGAAGCCAGGAAUCUGAGCCCAGCCUGGGCGACAAAGCAAUACCCCUAUCUCUACAAAAAAUAAAAAAUAGCCAGGUGUAGCGACACACACCUGUGGUCCCAGCUGCUCGGGAGGCUGAGCAGGAGGAUGGCUUGGGCCCAGGAGUUCAAGGCUGCAUGGCGCGAUCUCGGCUCACUGCAAGCUCCGCCUCCUGGGUUCACACCAUUCUCCUGCCUCGGCCUCCCGAGUAUCUGGGACUACAGUCGCUCGCCACCACGCCCGGCUAAUUUUUUUGUAUUUUUAGUAGAGACGGGGUUUCACUUUGUUAGCCAGGAUGGUCUCAAUCUCCUGACCUCAUGAUCCACCUGCCUCGGCCUCCCAAAGUGCUGGGACUACAGGCAGGAGCCACCGCGCCUGGGCCUUUUUUUAAGUUUUAAGUACCUACAAAGAACACUGAAAGGUGAUGUGUGUGGAUGAGCUAGGAAGACCUGAAAUAGGCUCUCUCUAAAUUAAUCAAAUUAAUCCUGAAGCCAUUCUGCAAUAAUGUCUUUAAUGUAUACUCACUUGUUAUAGAAGCCAGGGUUUUUUCCCCUAAUUUGUAUCAUUGCUAUAUGUGUUAUUGUACCAAACUACACUGUUUUAAUUGCUGUAAAUUUUAAUAUGUCUUAGUAUCUGGGUGUGGGAAUCUUGAAAGCAUGGAGUUUGUGUUAUUCACCACUGUAUUCUCAAUAUCAGAAGAGUAUCUGGCCUACUAAGUGCACAAUAAACAUA